UGUAUACUCGAUCCGUCCAGAAAUAUUUAUCGAAAGAAUGGAUGUAUCUAGAUGUAUUUUAGUUCUAGAUACAUUCAAUUUUAUGCAUUUCUUCAACAAGUAUUUCCGGACGGAGGGAGUAUAUA
rfam:Triticum aestivum genome assembly, contig: Triticum_aestivum_CS42_TGACv1_scaffold_115086_2AS